UGGGGAAUAUUGCACAAUGGGCGCAAGCCUGAUGCAGCGACGCCGCGUGAGGGAUGGAGGCCUUCGGGUUGUAAACCUCUUUUGCCAGUGAAGCAGGCCAUCUUCUUUGUGGGGUGGUUGACGGUAGCUGGAUAAGAAGCGCCGGCUAACUACGUGCCAGCAGCCGCGGUAAUACGUAGGGCGCGAGCGUUGUCCGGAAUUAUUGGGCGUAAAGAGCUCGUAGGCGGCUGGUCGCGUCUGUCGUGAAAUCCCCUGGCUUAACUGGGGGCUUGCGGUGGGUACGGGCCGGCUUGAGUGCGGUAGGGGAGACUGGAAUUCCUGGUGUAGCGGUGGAAUGCGCAGAUAUCAGGAGGAACACCGGUGGCGAAGGCGGGUCUCUGGGCCGUUACUGACGCUGAGGAGCGAAAGCGUGGGGAGCGAACAGG
rnacentral:rRNA from 1 species